rnacentral:lncRNA from 1 species
CGGACCAAUAAAUGGCAGCGCAUAAAAAUAUAUUGUGUUCCGCUCACUACCUGAACAACGAAUUAGCAUCAGGAGCAUCCGCAUCGGAUCGCAACCCAAGCCAUCCCAUCCCCCGUCUGCCACAGGCACCAGCACCAGAGCUAUUCGAUACGAUACGAGGAGUAUACAAAAGUAAUCUCCUAAGAAGAAGUCGCCAGAUCGUCCGCCAUAAAUCAUGCCAAACUGCUGUUUGGGUAUAGAAAGUCAACGUAAAAUGCCAUCACUUAAAGUCAUUCAAGCAUUUAUUUAUGUCAAAACAUUGUCCGCUAAGCUGCUGCGAACCCACCCGAAUCCUCGGGAAGAGGUUCCUCUAUAUACCAGCACCAGGGGUCAGUCGGGCAGCCCAGUCGAAUGUAUAACUCAAUUAUAGGCGGCUGUGUGCUCACACCGCAGCGGGGUGUCGGCGCAUUGGCCCCUUACGAAUAUAAUUUUUACUCCUCUCUGGUCUGGAAAGUAGUUUGAAUGGACUGGAACAGAGACAGGAGUAGGGACAGGGAUAGGGACGCUAGUCUAGCAGACAAUGCUCCUGUGGCGAUCGGGGUCAUUGCGGUUUAGGACAGUCUCAGCGGGUAAAGCGAGAGAGAGAGAUAGCAUUUAUGUCAUUAGAAACCUGGUAUCAAUGCUCAAUGAAAACAUCUUUGCUGCACUUUUAUCGCCAGCAUUCGCUGUCCCUGAUUUCUGUGUGGCCCAUCCCCGUACCCGUCCCGCAUGCACAAUCGGAUUGUACAUUUUGCCAUUUUGUACUGGCCACGACCGAAACGAUCUGCAAGGGCCAGGGCCGGGGGGAGCAGACAUGAUUUCUGUAUAACGAGAACAAUGUUUUUAACGUUCUUGCCUUUGGGCCACACUGCAGUUUCGCGUCGUUGGCGAUCUCCGUUUCUUGGGAGGGGGCAGGGGGCAGGGCAGUAUGCAAGUGAGGCAAGUACACGACGAUGGGGCUCGGAUCGUGCAAAAGUACAGCGACGGACUGACAGGUGGCGCCGGCGCCGAUUCGAAUUUAAAUAUGAGAAGGAGAGGAGGUCGGGGUCGAAGUUCCAGCUAAUUCUCAAUCUUCGACGCAGUCACAAUGUUUUUGCUUGUACAAGACACAAAACGUCUCUUAUUUCGCUUAAUAAACUACAAUCUAUUCAAUUUGAUCCUCAUAAUUAUGUUUGUUCGCUUAAUUUAUGGUAGAAGAGACUUUUAAUUUCACAAAAUAUGGAAAUCGAAUCGAUCUGCUAUCAAUCCUUACU